CUCUUUCGAAACUGGAGUUUGCUGCAGCUUAUCAUAGAUUGAGGGGUGCCAAUGUUCUUCUUCCGUUUGGCUUCCACUGCACUGGCAUGCCCAUAAAGGCUUCUGCUGAUAAGCUUCGACGCGAAAUUCAACAAUUUGGUAACCCACCUGUAUUCCCUGGUCCAUCUGAGGAGCGAGAAGAACCGAAACCGGAGCAAGGGGAUGAAAAUGCAUCUGGUCAACCUAGUAAGUUCAAGGGCAAGAAGUCCAAGGCUGCAUCUAAAUCCGGUGGACAAGUGUUCCAGUGGGAGAUCAUGCGCAGUUUUGGGCUCUCUGAUAGCGAGAUUGCCAAGUUUCAGGACCCAUACCAGUGGCUAAGGUUUUUCCCACCAUUGGCAAUGGAGGACCUUAAGGCUUUUGGACUUGGUUGUGACUGGAGGCGCUCUUUUGUGACCACUGAUAUCAACCCAUAUUUUGAUUCCUUUGUGCAGUGGCAGAUGAGGAAGCUGUAUGCUAUGGGUAAGAUUGUGAAGGAUGUUAGAUACACAAUCUACUCCCCCUUAGAUGGUCAACCGUGUGCAGAUCAUGACAGGGCAUCUGGUGAAGGAGUUCUACCGCAGGAUUAUACUCUAAUAAAAAUGGAGGUCUUAAAGCCAUUUCCUCCGAAGUUAGGUCCUCUAGAGGGAAAGAAUGUUUACUUAGCUGCUGCUACAUUGAGGCCGGAGACCAUGUACGGGCAGACAAAUGCUUGGGUGUUACCCGAGGGGGAAUAUGGAGCCUUUGAAAUUAAUGAAACUGAUGUGUUUGUUAUUACACACAGAUCGGCCCUUAACCUUGCAUAUCAAAACUUUUCGAAGAUUCCUCAGAAACCCACUUGCUUGUUGGAGCUCACUGGUUAUGAUCUUAUUGGGCUUCCGCUGAGCUCUCCUCUUUCCUGCAACGAAGUCAUAUAUGCUCUUCCAAUGUUAACCAUCUUAACCGACAAAGGUACAGGGAUUGUCACCAGUGUGCCUAGUGAUGCACCUGACGAUUAUAUGGCUCUUCAUGAUUUGAAAGCAAAACCUGCUUUUAGGGCAAAGUUUGGUGUGAAGGAUGAGUGGGUAAUGCCCUAUGAGGUAGUGCCAAUUAUUAACAUUCCAGAAUUUGGGGAUAAGGCUGCUGAAAAAGUCUGCUUGGAUCUGAAGAUUAAGAGCCAGAACGAGAAGGACAAGCUUGCUGAAGCUAAGAGGUUGACAUACUUGAAAGGGUUUACAGAUGGAACAAUGAUUGUUGGUAAAUAUGCAGGGAUGAAGGUCCAAGAAGCAAAGCCAUUGCUUAGAACCGAACUUAUUGAGACAGGCCAGGGAAUUAUGUAUAGUGAGCCUGAAAAGCGAGUUAUGUCAAGGUCAGGUGAUGAAUGUGUCGUGGCACUUACAGAUCAAUGGUACAUAAUCUAUGGAGAAGCAGAGUGGAAGAAGUUGGCGGAGGAAUGCCUAAGCAAACUGUUUCACAUAUCCUACAUAACGAGGACAUGUAUGGUAUCAACAAAUCUCAUCCCAUUCAACCUUCGCAAAUGACUGAUGAAGUAUGGAACUUCAUCCUCUGUGAUGGUCCACAUCCAGAGUCUUCGGAUAUCCCAGCAGCUGUCCUUGAAAAGAUGAAACAGGAAUUUAACUACUGGUACCCCUAUGAUUUGCGAGUCUCUGGAAAGGACCUUAUCCAGAAUCACUUGACAUUCUCCAUAUACAACCAUGUAGCAAUCAUGGCUAAGAAACACUGGCCUCGUGGAUUCAGGUGUAAUGGGCACAUCAUGCUCAAUUCCGAGAAGAUGUCCAAGUCGACUGGAAAUUUCAGAACACUACGCGAGGCUAUCCUGGAAUUCUCUGCUGAUGCGACGAGAUUCUCGCUGGCUGAUGCUGGAGACGGUGUUGAUGAUGCUAACUUUGUGUUUGAAACUGCCAACUCUGCUAUCCUUCGGCUUACCAAAGAGAUUGCAUGGAUGGAAGAAGUUCUAGCUGCAGAAUCCACUCUGAGGACUGGUCCUCCAUCAACUUAUGCCGAUAAGGUGUUUGAGAAUGAGAUAAACAUUGCAGUUAAGAUGACUGAGCAGAAUUACAGUGAUUGUAUGUUUAGAGAGGCAUUGAAGACCGGUUUUUACGAUCUUCAAACAGCCAGAGACGAGUAUAGAUUCUCGUGUGGCAGCGGUGGCAUGAACCGUGACCUAGUUUUGCGGUUUAUGGAUGUGCAGACUCGUCUCAUCACUCCUAUUUGUCCACACUAUGGAGAACACGUAUGGAGGGUGCUUUUAAAGAAGGAAGGGUAUGCGGUUAAAGCCGGCUGGCCGCUAGCUGGUUCUCCUGAUCUGAAGCUGAAAGCUGCCAACAAAUACUUGCAGGAUUCCAUUGUUCUGAUGAGGAAGUUGCUCCAGAAACAAAUCUCGGGUUCAAAGAAAGGCAACAAGAAGGGAGCCUCAGAAACCACCACCACAACAGAGAGCAAAGUAAUCACUGGUUUGAUAUUUGUGAACGAGCAGUUCGAUGACCAGAAAGCAAUAUGCUUGAGGAUUCUCCAGAGCAAGUUCGAUAGCGAGACUCGAACUUUUGCACCCAAUGAGGAGAUAUUAAAGGCGUUGCAGGAGAGUCCACUAGGGCAAGCUGGGAACUUUAAGCAAGUCCAGAAGCAGUACAUGCCAUUCUUGAGAUUCAAAAAGGAUGAAGCGGUUGCGAUUGGCGCUCAGGCAUUGGAUCUGAAGCUACCCUUCGGGGAGAUUGAUGUCCUGAAGGAGAACCUGGAGUUGAUCAAGAGACAACUCGGACUUGAAGAGGUCGAAGUUCUGUCUGCAUCGAAUCCCGAGCACCGUGCUCGAGCUGGCUCCCUCGCCACCCUCUUGACUCAGAAUCCCCCAUCACCUGGAAACCCCACGGCUAUCUUCUUGACCAGGUCAGUCAAAACCCCAAUUCGUACCGAAUAAUGGCAUCUACCCUUUUUUCUUUUUUAGUCUCCAUUUUGGGGCUUUUGUAUGUUUUUUUUUAUUUUUUUUUUUUUUUUUUUGUGAUUUUUUUUUUUUUUUUUUUUUUCGUUUUCUUUUUUUUUUUUUUUUUGUUUUUUUUUUUUUUUAGAACCGUUUGCAUUUGAAAGAGGAGAAGACGUUUAAUGUUUACUUUGUUUUUGUUGUAUGUUCUGGAUUCAAAUGAUUCUGUUUUUGGUCUGAACUUCCUUGGAAUGGUUUUGACGACCUUUGUUUCUGGGCACUGUAAUCCAACCACAUUUCUUGCAUGUUAACAGAAUCUGAGAAGAGUAAUUGUCAAGAGAGUUUUUUAAUAUGGUGUGUCUGUGGUCUGUUUUGUGCUGUGUCGGAGUUGUCUACCGAAUUCAGAUAGUGCAUUUGUCUGUCAAUCCUUUAAAAUCGGAGUAACUGUAGAUAAUGCAUUUGUUAUCACAGAAGUUUGAGCGUCUCUCGGUUGGUCGAAGCUGUGUUUUUGCUGCAAAUUGUUAUGUACAUAGAAGCUGUAUUUGUAUUUUAUAAUAGGAUGUAUGCUUCUGCAACUACUGGAGCCCCGAAAAACAAAAUCCCAACCAUACCAUCAACACAUGUUCCAGACCAAGUUGGAAAGAAAUGGUUUCAAGCGGAUUCCAGAGAUCACCUUUGCUCUGAAAUAUGCCAUACUCGAUCAUAGGCCUCAACUGAGAGAUCUCCACCUGACACUCUUACUUGUGGAACUAAAGCUGUGUGGGUAAUAUCUCAGCUUCAGUGACAGCAUGCUUCAGUUGCUGAAUUUGAUGAACAUAUUUCCUUUGCCAUAACUAAAUUACCAGCUUCUGACGGAUUUGAGAGACCAACAUACUUGUGUAGCUGUUCUAUAGAGGCAUACUGUUCUAGUCGUCAGCAGCCUACUUUGUUUGUUGUGUAUGUAACCCGGCCACUGUUGUUACAAACGUACACUUGAGUUUUUGUCCUCAGGCUGCAUAGACAUCCCGGGAUUGGAGAAUGCCAUGAUUCAUGAUAAUCAAAGUCGAUAGUUUUUAUCGAAUGUUAUGAACUCGGGUGAUGUGUAGCUUUUUUCAAAGCCUCAAUCUUAGGUGCUAGGAUAUUGCACUGUUGGGUCGUUGAGAAACUUUUACCUACAAUCUCCAGUUUAAUGUAUACAGACAAGGCACGUCUGAAUGGGCCAGUCAGUUACAUUGGAGAAAGUGGGAAGCAGAAGAGGAGAAGGGAGUAUAAAUUCCACAUUAAUACCCAAACAAAGAUCUGCUCUUCUCUUCCUUCCUCUUCGCUCUGUAACUCUAUCACUGAAGAAACUAAAGCUCCAGAUCAGACAAAUAACUCUCUUGGUUCACCUAUUCUUUCUUCGACUUGGUUUAUGAGGUAGAUUCCGACUCCACAAAACCCACUCAUCAAUCUCUCAUAACUCUUUUUUACUUUUACUUAGUCAUUUUGUCGAACACCUUGCAUGCAUCUCAAUCGUUGUUGUAGCUAACCUUCUUUUUCAGCUAUCCUGUUUGCCAUAGUUUGAGCAAGUUAUAAGGGAACGUAUUGUUGUCUGAUCUCUGAUGGGGACGGAAGGGUGGGAGUGCGGAAGUGCUUUCGGAGAAUUGAGCGAUGAUGACGAGCUUAAUUUGGUAGAGGAUGAUGACAGUGAACAACUUUUCAACCUAUGCGGUCCUUCAAAGAAACUUCAGUUCAGGUAAGUUUCUGUAGUUCAGUACUGCUAUCAGUGCGGAAUUGAUUGUGUAAAAGAUCAUUACUUGCGCUACUGUUUAAAGAUUGAACCAUUAAACAACACUCCGAUAAACCAUUAUGAAACAGCUGCUGGAUUGAUCUCCAUGUUUAAGAUAGAGUUCAUAAUCUGAUAUUAUCAGGAGUGAUAUCUCAAAGGCUCGAUGGGAUGAGGAGCUUGAUAUGGCUGAAGUAACUGAGAAGAAGGGGAAAAUGUGGAUCACAAUGGGUAUUAUGAGAAGUGGCAAGACAUAUUGCUCAAUCGAGGAGACACUGUAGGUAGAAAGAUUGUACAAAGUUUCCAGCUUUGUGGUGAAUUUGUUGAACCUGUGUUGUUUACUUUACUGUGCAGCUUUUUGGCUGAAAUUGGGGGAUUGCAUCUCAUGGACUGUAAUAAUAAUGUGCAAUCUUCCUUGAAAGAAAUCUAUGAGAUGCUUGCAGAUGAAAAGAAGGGUUGCUGUUGGGAGCUUUUCGAAGCUUAUAGGCACUUGAAGUCCCUUGGUUAUAUCGUUGGCCGACACGGUAUUCCAUGGACAAUGAAGGGUGUUAAGAAGGAUGGGAGCAGCAACUCCUGUUCUUCCCAAGUUGAUUUUGACAGCAACAAUGUACAUGAUGAUGGUGAAUCAGAAGAAGAUACAGUUUCCGUCACUAAAAAGCUGGGUGAUUUGCAGAUUAAUGAUGGCUUGAAGCCUGUAUUGGACGCUCACCUUCCUAACAGCAAGUUCAGGAAGACUUCACCUGGUGACCCCAGCUUUCUCCUCUGCAUAUCCAGGUACUCACCUAACUUCCUUCUUUAAAUUCGUUUGAAGCUUCUAAAAGCAUUCUUAAAUCCCGGUCCAGAACUGUCAGAAAGAUGUGCAGAUUAGCUUGAUUCACUUGAAAUCAGCGUUUGAUCGUUUGUGAACCAGCUACGAUUUUACUACCGUCAUUCUACGAUUUCACGACAUGAACAUCGAACUGCUAUUUCUCGUUUAUCUUCAGAGACAGCAUGCCCCCAUCAAGAGCUAAAAUUGAAGCGCUGGAAAAUCAGUGUGGAGGGAUUCCUAUAAAGGUUUGCCAUGUAGAGCAUGGCCGGGUCAGCUUUUUCAGCUUCAAGAAGAUACAACUUCCAAAGCUUCCAUAAACAACUGAACAUGUCCACCCAAUUCUAUGUGAUGAAGUCUGCUAGCUAUGACUAACAAGAACAAUGGAACAUGGUCACUCUUUUGUUUCUUUCGAUUUUGGAGGAGUGUUGUGCAAGUAUUACGCUUUAGAAUGAAAAAGCCUGAUCGUUGUUUUUAUAUAAUCCUACUGUUUAUUUUAUCUCUUUGUCGACAUCUAUUUUCAAGUCGUGAGAUCGAUUUCUACACAGAUUAGAAGAUAUAAAAGAGUUUUUUGGCCACUUUAUGGACAACUCUAUUAACACCACGACGCACCACCUGUAGCCAAAGACAAGCCGCCAAGAACGCUAGAACUUUUGCAAAAAUAACUUCACCUAUCACACACCUCUGGGACAAACGAGAAAGAACAUAAGAUAUUCAAAUACCUUCAAAGACAAUUCAAAUCAAUAACAAAAAACCAAAAUCAGACUGAAUACCUAGGAAUUGUAGAAUACCAGACGAGGAUGAACUAGUUAUUUGGAAGCUCAGUUGCCAACAAGUUGUCAGGAUGGCCGAGUGGUCUAAGGCGCCAGACUCAAGUUCUGGUCUUCGAGAGAGGGCGUGGGUUCAAAUCCCACUUCUGACAUUUCCUUUUUGUUCUUUUUUGUUUCAUGCCUCCCCUGCUUCUGCAAUGAAAUUUCCAUCUUUAUCAUCUACUAGUUUCUUUGCUUGAAGAUGAUAAGAUGUUUAGCUGCACUGCAAGCUUAAGUGCUCAGCUUCUGGUUCUAUCCCAAACUGGCAUUUCAUCAAACCGAAAUACCUCGUCCCUUCCUCUACGUACCAUGAUUCAUCUUCAUUUUUCUUAUUUUCUGGAUCUGCUGGUUCAGUUACAAAUACAAUCAAUCAUGGUUCCAGUACUGUCAUGAUUAAUUGUUGGAAUUAAACUAGAAGCAUUUGUUGGAAUCAAACUGAAAGCAUUUGGCAUCGCUGAAUCCGAAACCCUCCAUGGGUGAUUCGGAUAUGAAACUUAACCUAAGCCUGUAAGAGAUCAAAGAAUAUUAUCAAAUACUUGUCUCCGACUCUAAAUCAGCCGCAAGAUCUGAUCACUUCUAAGGUUCACAUUGAAUCAAUCUACAAUCCCAACUCUCAUAAAAUCGGAAGAUUCCUGUUACGUGCAUGAAUUUAUCGAUUUUGAGGUUCGUUCUCUCUUUAGUAUAUGUAAGGAGGACGAAGGAUUUGUUGGAAUCAAACUAAAAUGGUUACAAAGUGCAUAUACUGUUGUACUGCUUUUGUACAAAGUGUUACACUAAGUACGAUAUAAUAAAUAUUAUUUACAUAGUUUGGCUGUCAAAUGUCGAUUUUGUCUUCGUGUUUCUAGCCGUUAGAUCUAAACCACAAUUUCUGAAUGGUUGAUAUUUGUACAAGCUUUGACCAAAUCCAUAAACCAUUCCUCUGACUCUAUAAAGAGCUCAUCAUGAUCAAUCGGAGCAAAUGAAAGAGAGGGAAAAAAAACUUAAGUAGACAGAUCAAUGGCCGAGAAGAAGAUUUCGUCAAGGGUAACCCUACGGCCCUUCAGAUUAUCGGACGCCGACGACAUGUGGAGCUACCUGACGACCAACCGCGGGGAGAUGACACGUUACACGUCGUUACCGUGGAAGGAGGGUAUGUUCAAGUCAAAGGAAGAUGUGGAGUCGUACAUACAGAAAUUCUGCAUCCCACAGCGUUACUGCCGGUCGAUUUGCAUCGACGACAGCGGCCGGUCGGUGGGGAUGGUGUUAAUCACCCCUGGAAUCGGAAGUAGUAGUGGAUCAUCAUCAUCAUCAUCAUCAUCAUCAUCAUCAUCAUCAUCAUCAUGGCGGAGGGGGAAUAUUGGAGUGCUAGUGUCGCAGGAGCAUUGGUCGAAGGGAGCGUGUACGAGAGCUAUGGAGAUCGCUGCGGUGGAUGGGUUCCGAGCUAUUCCGGAGAUGGUACGGCUAGAUGUAUUGGCGGAUGUGGAGAACAAAGGGGCGAUCAAGUCUGCGGAAAGAGCCGGGUUUCAAAGGGAAGGACUGUUGAGGAAGUUUUUGUUUCAUAAUGGUGAAGAUAGGGAUAUUGUUGUGUAUAGCAUGUUGGUUCAUGAUCCAAGCCGUCUUGCUUUGGUUAGUAAGUUCCGCACCACCUCCGCCGCCGCCACCAUCACCUUGAAGCUUUGAUAAGGUUUUGUUCGGCAUCCAGUAGGAAGUGUCCAUCUUAUUUUUACGAUCAUAAACUUAUAACCGUUUAAUUUAUAAUAAAAUUAAUUAUAAUCUGAUAAAAUUUAUCUCAUCAAACUAGUUUUUAAACUUUUUACACCAAUUUAUAUCGUAUUUCCUAUUACAAAAUGCGAAUUAUUUCUAAUUAUAAUUAAGAUUCUACAUCUACUUACACUAUUUUUUCCACUAUGACCAACCUAUGGCCAACCUAACUAAAUGCCAUAUAUGCAUGCAUGCUAAGCAACCACCGCAAACAUGCACAGUUCCACAUGGAUUCUUUCUAGUACUAUGAUCUUGCACAUGAAUUUAAUUAGGUGGCAACUUUGUUUCCAUGCAUAGAUAUAUUUAGGUGGCAACAAAUAAAUGCAGGGGAAGUCUAAGAACCAUAAUGGUAAAUUGGUUAAUAUAUAUACAGGUGGCAGCAGGUGGCCAAAACGUUUAGUCUCAUCAUUUUAUGGAGAGCUCUGUUGACGACACGUCGGACUACUUGCACCUACAAAUUCGAACACGCCGCCAAAACAAACAAGAUAUUCCGCCGCCCCUGCACCACCAUCAACCUCUUCUCAGCUUUAGCCAUAAAAGGAAUAUCAAAAUCCCUCCACAUCUCCCUCGGCACUCUCCUUCGAAAACUCAAUCAUCGAAUCCAGUCACGUUUCCAGAUAACAGGAAUGCGCCGACAAACCGAGACUAACCCUUAUCGCAGUAUCCAUUGUUGACAAUAGAAGCCUGCUGUAUGGGCUCUGGUUUUAUGUGUACAUGUUUGCUUAUUAUAGUGCAGGAUUUAUGACCCGCAUAAAGGAAGCCUGGUCCAAGUCCGUAGUCUGAGCCCAGCCGACAACUGCCGACGCGUGUCUAACACUUACCUUAAAAUCAUCAGCUCAUCGCAAGAGGCAGCUACUGAUCGGAAAAUCUCUCCUCCUCUAUGACGAGAAAUCAGGCGAACAUGCAAGGAAAGAAGGAAGGUUCAUCUCUCGGAUUAUUCGUCAGCAAGGGAAUCUAAUGGUGAUAAAUAGAGGCUGCGACCAUCUCCAAAAAGGUGGUGAAGGAAACUCAACCAGGCUCAAGGGCACAAUCAGGAGAAGGAUCGUGCGAUUGGAGUUAAAGCUUUGGAUCAAGCAACCGCUGCUGAAGUUCUGCUGGGGCCUUUGAAGAUAGCUGGAGCUUAACUGGAUUAACGGUGACUUACUUGUCAAAGACCUAAAGUGUUUCAGGUUGUAAAGUCGCCAACCCUGUCAAAUUUGUGAUUAUGUUAAUUUUGUAUUCAGAUAUCAUUGAUUGAGUACUGAAAGGCUUGCAUGCUAGAUUAUUGACCAUAAAGUGAUCAAAGCUACAUUUAGCUGUAACUACUGUUUCUCUGCACAUCAGUAACUUUCCAGAGCAAGUCCCAGUUGUUUCCUUGAACUUAAUAAUUUGUAAUUGUUCUUCCAGAUUCGAUAAAUUUGUCUCAGCUAUAAGGAUCAGUUUACAACAUUCAUGUCUCCCAAUUCAAACACCCGAUUCUCCUUCUCCACCUUGUAAUAGAAAAUAUGGAUCUCAGUACCAAUAGUACAUUGGUCGACGAAGAUUUCGAAAGAAAAACUACGCACUGUGGAUGAUUACUGAGAGGUGAAAGUGGGUUUGGUUUGAUUUUAGUUAGCUAAAAUGGCAAUGGAGGGUGUUAUGAUCAUCCAUCCAUUAAUUACAACACAUCAAAAUAAAAAAGUUGUAGGUUCAGAGAUUACUUGGCCAGACUCAAAUAUCAGUAUGAAAACAAAUAAAUAAUCAAGACUUUAUAUUUACGAGAUUUAAGUAGAAUGGUCAUUGGGUUAUUUGUAAUAUAUUUAUUAAAAAAUCCAAAAAGAAAAGAAAUUGGACGGUUCAGAUACGUCUGCAUAAUAUGCGGCCCAGAUUUGAUCCAAAAAGUGGGAGCACGGUGGCCUAUAAAUAGAUUAAUUCUUGGUAAACAUUAAUACGAGUAGCAAAGACGAUAGUAAUAUGGCGCCAUCUCAUUUGCGUUUCUUACUACUUGCACUGGUUCUGGUAUGCUCCUCCUCAAUUUAUCAUUUCUGCAUAUGCCAGCAAGUUGGAUACUCUAUACUUAUAUGAUCGUCUUUGAUGAUGUAUAUGCAGUUGGGAGCUGGUUGUUGCAGUGUCAAUGGAAUUAGGAAAGACCCAAUAGGAGAUUACUGGAGAUCUGUGAUGAAAGAUGAGCCUAUGCCUAAAGCAAUCCAAUCCCUACUACUUCCUGCUGCAAAUUCUGAUCAUCAACACCCUGCUGUCCAUUAUGAUACUGAUCACAACUUCAAAAACCCUGAUCAGUCACAACCUGAUGAACACAUCUUCGAGUACUAUAGCAAAGAUGAUGCCCUGCCAUCCAACAAAUUCGCAAAGGGGAUUGGAUCGCGACCUGAUGAAGCCCUCUUGUUCUAUAGCAAAGAUGAUGCCCUGCCAUCCAACAAAUUCGCAAAGGGGAUUGGAUCGCGACCUGAUGAAGCCCUCUUGUUCUAUAGCAAAGAUGAUGCCCUGCCAUCCAACAAAUUCGCAAAGGGGAUUGGAUCGCGACCUGAUGAAGCCCUCUUGUUCUAUAGCAAAGAUGAUGCCCUGCCAUCCAACAAAUUCGCAAAGGGGAUUGGAUCGCGACCUGAUGAAGCCCUCUUGUUCUAUAGCAAAGAUGAUGCCCCGCCAUCCAACAAAUUCGCAAAGGGGAUUGGAUCGCGACCUGAUGAAGCCCUCUUGUUCUAUAGCAAAUGAACCACGCUAGUUAUGAUAAUUGUACCUUCGAUCAUCUUUAAUAAUCUGUUAAGUAUUUGAAUAAAGGAAACCGUUGAUCGAUUACUAUAGUAUUUUCAUGAGUUUCUAUAAAAUAUGGUCUUUUUUAGCGACCGAACAUGCUCGUACAAUAACUCACACUCAUUUGAUUUUUUUCCAUUUUUUUUAUUCUGAAACUACUCUCAUUCAAGUCAAUUCGUUUGACUCAUUAUUAAUUGACGGAUGAAAGUUGGCCCAAAAUGACCUGAUCCAACGGUUAAGAUAUGUCGGAUCACCUUUCGGAUCAAUAACCGCGUUGAUCUAGUGGGUGUACCAUGUUGGUGGAAAUUCAAUCAACAAACUACAAAACGUUGCAGUAUUACUAAUUAAGUUGCUGAACUGCGUUUUGAACUUACCGAAUCCGUUUCCUAGUCUAACUGCUAGUUUUUUACUAACGAAACUCCAGAAAUCAGACCCUUCUCAGUUUGUUGAGAAGAUGACCUGAUUUCCAGGAAUGGAUUCUUCCCACGAAUCAAAUCUGUUGGAGAUGAUGAUGAUCACAUGGAGAGAGGGCGGUUGCGAUGGAGAGCUUCGAAAGGCUUAUUGCUAUAAAUAUAGCAAGUUAGCAGCUCAAGCAUUAUCAUCGCAAAUCAUACCUUCCUCAUCUCUCUGUUUACUGAAUCUCUGUUCUUUAGAUUAGUUUCCAACUCUCGAGCUAUUAUACCACGGUUAGAGAGGAUACUGCGAUUAUCUUCAGUUGCAAAGGGUAUUUCAUAUAUUCGUAAAUUCUGACAAUGCUUCGAUCAUACAUGGUCACAGUCGAGGUUUGUAUGUAUCUAGUUAUGGUUUUUAAUAAAGUAAUUAAGAAAAUUAAUGCAAUUAAUUACCCACGAUUGUUGUGUUCAUCGAUCGGCAGAUUUUGUUUGAAUUCUUAGUUCUUGCAACCACAAGACAGAAUCGUGUGUUUGCAUGGUAAGCAACCACCGCAAACAUGCACAACGUCCACACGGACUGUUUCCAGUAUAUAUGGCCAUGCAUGCAUGGGUUUACGUGGCAAAAAAUUGAUGCAUGGAUGGAAACAACAUAAUCAUAUCAUAUACAAAAGUGUCAAUUCCGGCCAUUUUUAUUUUGACAAAGAUGUGAGUUUAUUUAUAAAUAGAACAAGAUAUAAUACUGAUUAUAAAUGAUAUAAUUGAAAACUAUCCGUCCCAUUCAAGUCAAUUCGUUUGAGGAUUACGAUUUAGAAUUUAGGGCGUAAGGAAUUUAUAAAUUUGAAAUUUAAACUUUCAAAAUAUGAAUUUUUUAAUAUAGAGGAUACGAAUACAUCCAAAAUAAUCGGAACGUUCAGCAUAUAAAGAGAACAGGAAGGAACGCUGUGAAUUUGAGAAAGAGAACAUUAAGCUAAUAAGAGAUGGGUAAAGAAAGCUCCCUCAAGUUGUUGGGUUUACUCUUCAUCCUCUUUGUGGUAAUGAAUGAAUUGAGUCAAGAUCUCUUCAUAUCAUAAUUUAAUUUUGUUUAAAAGAAUGCUCGUGAUCAACUCUGUUUUUGCAAAUCCAGCUCCUCCAUUUGGUGGUGGCUGUAGAUGGAGGAAGAGACUUGCAGGGGAGCACUCAACAUCUGCAGCAUCAGCAUCAUAUGAUGAUGAUGAUGAGUCCAGCCUCAAACGUGUUCUUCAGGCUAAAAGACCUGAAACAAGGAUCCCAAAUGGAAGUCUACUUCCCCCGAAAAAACAAAGACCCGUCGAAAACCCCACAUUUCCUCACCAGGGAAGAAGCAGAUUCAAUCCCAUUCUCAUCCAAACACCUCCCUUACCUUGUCGAACUCUUCUCGUACGAGCCGGGCUCCACAGAGGCCUCUGCCGUGGCAGAGGCCCUCGCGACUUGCGAGACCAAAGCGGUCAAGGGAGAGGCCAAGCUAUGUGCCACCUCGUUGGAAUCGAUGCUCGACUUUGCUCAGCAGACGCUUGGGGGGGAGCAGCAGAAGCUCAAAGUGCUGACCACCACCCACUUGAUAAGAAGUAGUAGUGAAGGAACCACCACCCAGCAGCUUGUGCAGAAGUACACCAUUGUCGGUGAGCCGGAGGAACUGAAGGCGGCUACAAGGCAGGUGGCAUGUCACACCAUGGCAUACCCUUAUGCGCUUUUCUAUUGCCAUAGCCAGCUGUUCACUGAGAACAAAGUUUUCAUGGUUUCAUUGGAAAAUACUGACAAUGGAGACAGAGUUGAUGCUCUUGCAAUGUGUCACAUGGACACCUCUCAAUGGGCCAAAGGACAUAUCUUGUUUAAGGUGCUUGGUGUUGAGCCUGGACAAACUGAAGUCUGCCAUUUCUUCCCUGAAGAUCAUCUCGUUUUCGUUCCCGCAGCCAGAAACCAUUAACUCAAAGUCAUCCAUCUGAUGAAUUGUAAUAAGAUAGAUCGAGUUGUUGUUUUCUCAAUAUGUACCUUAAUUAGUUUGUGUUUACUUUGUAAGCUCCAGAAUGUGGGUAGCAAAUAAAAAUAAAUGCAUCCGUUUGUGCUAUAAAUUAAUCAUUCCAAUGGUUACACGAUUUAAUAACUACUAGAUUGUGUGUCGCACCAUAUCGCAAGCCUACUCUUUAAUCUGUACUGGUUUUGCUAUUGGAUUUACAACUCCUUGUAGGUUGUAUAGUGAAUAAAAAGGAAUAAUUAGCCCAGAUUACUUUACAAAACAAGUUAGACAGAAAUGAAACAAACAGUCAGGAUGGCACUCUGUCGGCUAGUCGUGCUUAGUGUUAGAUCCUGCACUUCUUCAUAUAGAAUAAGAUCAUAUCUCUUUGUUACUGGCUGCAAUUCUCAACUCUCACUUACCACUGCCCUCCAUGGAGAGAUGAAAAUAUAAUACACUCCCUUCUCUCCAGGGCCUCAAACAAGGAACAUAAUUGUACAAACCCAAAAGAACGAUUGUCCUAAGAAAUACAUCACUGCUUAAACAUUGCCUUGUUGCUGCCUUUGAUGCAAGUGAAUGUUGAGCAGAGUCGGGAGUUUGCUUACCCUGUCCACGUAACCUCCUCUACCCUGCAGAUUUUUCCUUAACUUGCUAGUUUGAGCUCUGUGAACCCUGAAUCAAGAAGAAAAUGGGGGCAUAAAGCAGAGCACUAAAGUGGAUGAUAGGAAAAAAUGACAUUUGAUGGAAAGCAAAACUACUGCAUUCGGUGAUGUACGUGUUCUAGAUCAUCACUAUCUCUCUUGAUGACCUCAGGACGAAGCAGAACAAAAACAAGUGCAGAGAGGUAUAAAACAAAGGGCAUUUGAUUGCAGGAGCUCUACAUUUCACGAAUUCUGUAAGGUUUUGGGAUGGAAACGGAAGUUUACAAAUUUAAAAAAACCCAUAGAGCAUCAGCAACACUCUAAUUCAAACAUCGGAGCCAGCCAAUUAACAACAAUCCAUAGUAAUUCCAAUCUUCUGUUUUGAUUAACAAUAAACGAAAAUUACAAACCUAACUUCUGGGAGUUUUUAAAUCUCAACAAGUACCAGAGGAGGACUCAAUUCGCUGGUUUGGGUACCACUUUGGCGGAAUCGCGAACUCCAUGUUGCUUCUUGAUCGAGUUCCUCUCGAUCUCUUUCCACUUGUUGAUGGCGAAAGUCAAGAGUACUAGCAACAUAUGAUGAUGAUGGAUAUAUAGCAAUUUUUUAUUUUCUUUCAACGUGGGAGAUUAUAAUAGGGCUCUACUUACCUCCGGCGCCGGCGAAAUACAGAACACGAACGAUCUUCGGCCCAGGGGGGCCUGCUACCUCUUCCAUAAACGCUGAAUCGCUGAACUCAACGCUGAACCGUUGACCGUAUCAGGUGGGUCUGGCAGUGAUCUCAGCUGAGCUGAGUGGAAUAAGAACGCUAGAUGAACCACUAUGCAAUACAUCAGCUUCAGGGUUUCCAAAUUGGAAAGAUAAGCAAAACCUUCACCACCAAACCCAUCAAAGUACGAUAAUUCCUUCUUCCCCUGCAUCUUUUUCAUUCAUCGCCAUUGAAGCAGUACAGCAACUUCCGGGCUUGGAAAAUCGUAGUGGGCCAAUCACUGAAAGCCCAAUCUUGUUCUCUAGAACAUUAAGUCCACGAAUCCUUAAUUCUAUACAGAACUUGCCGUUUCUUCUUCUUACUAUACUAGACUACUGACGGAACGAUUGACCACUGCAGAGCAACUAGGGAUUUCGGCCAAGAUUUCUAACUCGUGGGGCGUCGUCACCAGCUCAGCAACUAAGGUUUCUUAUUUCUCGCAACUCCGUAAGCUCUGUCAAUUCAACCCUGAAACUUUUGCUUCCCUUUACAGUUCAAUUCUCAUCUUCUAGUCACUUGCUCUGUAUAAAUUGAACCAUGGGUGUUUAUCUUCAUCUGUGUAGAUUACAACGUUUACUGGACUGGUUGCAAUAAUUGUUUCAAUAUAUAUUUUGAUGACCAUUUGAAUUGUAAUGCUUGGUCUAUUUUUGUUUUGCUUAGCUUAACAAACAGGAUAGGAUACAUAUCGUCUGGCUAGGUAUGAAUUUUUUCUACAUUUUGGUUGAUAUCUACAUAGAUACCGGUCUGGUAGUAGGAUUGAAAAGAAUACGUGGCUGAAGUAAUGGAUUCUGUAGGCGGGGGUUUUGUUUGUAACUGGUGAUUGGUCAAUGAUCCUAUAUUCUUGUGUUUUUGGUGUUGUAGGGACUGGAUUUGGUAUAUAAGAAGAUAUAUCAGUAGCACUACACUGUCAAAACACAUUGUUCAAGUUUAAGCCAGGGUUGGGGGUGUUCAUGGAUUGAUUUGUAGAGUUCUCUUCCAGUGGCUAUUAACUACUACUCGAAGCUGAAUCUCUCAAUCUUUCAUCGUCGUGCCCUUUGCUCGACGGUCUUGAAUCCAAGGUAAAGCUUUGUUACAGACUUCCGGUGAAUUCCGAUCCAUAUGGCUUGGAUGUUAUGAGUUUUCUGUAACUGGGUUUGGUUUGUUUCUUGGGAAUCAUCAUCGUUUGUCAUUGUCUUUUUGGUUUGAACUUCCUGUUGGAUGUGGAGAAUCGGUCUUUCUAAUUCUUUGUUGCUUAACUGGCAACUGAAGAAAUUAGACAACAAGGAUGAAACGGUUUGUCAUGAAUUAGGGGAAUUUAUUUUGUGUCGUCGGAUCCAGCUUCUAGGGAGUGUUUGAAUGCUUUGUUUAUAGGCAGCACUUUCAUCUUUGUAGGAGCCUUGUUAUGUCAUAUUUCUGAAUUUCUCCGCAGCUCUUGAGCUUAAUCCUUUUGGAUCGCAUUUGUGUACUUCUUGUACACUUUAUAAUGAAGUCUCUGUGCUCGCUUUUCAUCAUUACGAGUUCAUUUUUUCUUUGGUAUUGUAUUCAGCUUUGGUUUUGGCCAUGUUUUGAGUUGGCUAAGAUUGGAUUCGUGUUUUCUGCAGUUGUCGUAAAUUCUGUGAAAUGGCUGAGGAGAGUGGGAGAAAAUUGACGAGAAGGGACAGUCUUUUGGAAAUUGAGGCAAAUGCUAGAAAAUGGUGGGACGAGAAAGAUGUUUUCAGAGCUGAGCCCGGUGAAAGGCUUCCUGAACCAGGGGAGAAGUUCUUUGGAAACUUUCCAUUCCCAUACAUGAAUGGGUUUUUGCAUCUUGGACAUGCAUUCUCUCUUUCGAAACUGGAGUUUGCUGCAGCUUAUCAUAGAUUGAAGGGUGCCAAUGUUCUUCUUCCGUUUGGCUUCCACUGCACUGGCAUGCCCAUAAAGGCUUCUGCUGAUAAGCUUCGACGCGAAAUUCAACAAUUUGGUAACCCACCUGUAUUCCCUGGUCCAUCUGAGGAGCGAGAAGAACCGAAACCGGAGCAAGGGGAUGAAAUGGCAUCUGGUCAACCUAGUAAGUUUAAGGGCAAGAAGUCCAAGGCUGCAUCUAAAUCCGGUGGACAAGUGUUCCAGUGGGAGAUCAUGCGCAGUUUUGGGCUCUCUGAUAGCGAGAUUGCCAAGUUUCAGGACCCAUACCAGUGGCUAAGGUUUUUCCCACCAUUGGCAAUGGAGGAUCUCAAGGCUUUUGGACUUGGUUGUGACUGGAGGCGCUCUUUUGUGACCACUGAUAUCAACCCAUAUUUUGAUUCCUUUGUGCAGUGGCAGAUGAGGAAGCUGUAUGCUAUGGGUAAGAUUGUGAAGGAUGUUAGAUACACAAUCUACUCCCCCUUA
rnacentral:lncRNA from 1 species